UUACCAUGGUUUGACACCCAGUAGCCGAUAUCUUUUUCGUGCUGGGGUGUCGUUAAACAUUCAUUCAUUCAUUCAUUCGUUCCAGAAUUAACUCAGGAAUAAUAAUUUUUUUAAGUCUUGUACUGGACAACAAGAGGGGUUUCCCAAAUAAUUUGUGGCUAAAUAUAGCAUGGUCACCAUCUUUGUUUCUUUGCCAGUUGUCUUCAAAGAAUUGUGGUAAAAAUGUAGUCUGUUUAAUGUGUACACAUAAAACAGUGACAUCACUAGUUAAUGCGUGUGACACACUUGCAAGAUUCCCCCUAAAAUACUUUUUUUUUUUCUACUAGUAAAUGGAAUUAUUUUAUUGUAAAUUUUAUAUAGGCAUAAACUUUGUUUCCAAGGAAACAUUAAAAAAUAUUUUUGGCAGAAACGGCCAUUAUCUGCAACUUUGACAUAGCACCUUUAAUACUAAUAGUUUGAGUGAUCAUAUAGUGUUGACUAAAAUACUUUGUUAUAGAUAUGUAUGUGUGUUAUUAAUAUAUAGGAACAUUAAAAUGUAGAUUUUUUUUUUUUAAAUGUUAA